CGUGAUAACACCUGGAAACAGAUGCUAAUACCGGAUAACAACAGAUGAUGCCUAUCAACUGUUUAAAAGAUGGUUCUGCUAUCACUCUUGGAUGGACCUGCGGUGCAUUAGCUAGUUGGUAGGGUAACGGCCUACCAAGGCGAUGAUGCAUAGCCGAGUUGAGAGACUGAUCGGCCACAUUGGGACUGAGACACGGCCCAAACUCCUACGGGAGGCAGCAGGC
rnacentral:rRNA from 1 species